rnacentral:rRNA from 1 species
UACGGAGGGUGCGAGCGUUGUCCGGAAUUACUGGGCGUAAAGCGCACGUAGGCGGAUUUGUAAGUCAGGGGUGAAAUCCCGGGGCUCAACCUCGGAACUGCCUUUGAUACUGAGGAUCUUGAGUAUGGGAGAGGUGAGUGGAACUGCGAGUGUAGAGGUGAAAUUCGUAGAUAUUCACAAGAACACCAGUGGCGAAGGCGGCUCACUGGCCCAUUACUGACGCUGAGGCACGAAAGCGUGGGGAGCAAACAGG